GACGAACGCUGGCGGCGUGCCUAAUACAUGCAAGUCGAACGAGUGGAGGAAGGGUGAGUAAUGUAUGGGGAUAUGCCCGGUAGAGGGGGGUAAAUACGGGCAAAGAUGGCUAAUACCGCAUACUAUCGGAUGAACCCAUAUGGGAUUAGCUAGUAGGUGGGGUAAAGGCUCACCUAGUCAACGAUCACUAGCGGGCCUGAGAGGAUGAUCGGCAACACUGGAACUGAGACACGGUCCAGACUCCUACGGUAGGCAGCAGUGGGGAAUAUUGCACAAUGGGCGAAAGCCUGAUGGAGCCAUGCCGCGUGUAUGAAGAAGGCCUUAGGGUUGUAAAGUACUGUCAUCGGGGAGGCGUUACCCGAAGAAGAAGCACCGGCUAACUCCGUGCCAGCAGCCGCGGUAAUUC
rnacentral:rRNA from 1 species